rnacentral:rRNA from 1 species
GCUAAGGUCCCAAAGUCAUGGUUAAGUGGGAAACGAUGUGGGAAGGCCCAGACAGCCAGGAUGUUGGCUUAGAAGCAGCCAUCAUUUAAAGAAAGCGUAAUAGCUCACUGGUCGAGUCGGCCUGCGCGGAAGAUGUAACGGGGCUAAACCAUGCACCGAAGCUGCGGCAGCGACGUUUAUGCGUUGUUGGGUAGGGGAGCGUUCUGUAAGCCUGCGAAGGUGUACUGUGAGGUAUGCUGGAGGUAUCAGAAGUGCGAAUGCUGACAUAAGUAACGAUAAAGCGGGUGAAAAGCCCGCUCGCCGGAAGACCAAGGGUUCCUGUCCAACGUUAAUCGGGGCAGGGUGAGUCG